rnacentral:lncRNA from 13 species
UGAGAUUCUGGGAAUGACAACUAGGUGGUGGCAGUGGGAAUGGAGUGAAGCAAGGGAAGAGGCUCUCCAGGCUUUUGAAGCCUCACUGGUCUGCUGGCAGCCGUUUGGAAACACUGCCACAAAUUUCCCUGUGCUUCAGCACCACUGGCCUGACCAACUCCCUCGAGAGCUCAUCUACUCCCCACUUACGUGAAUUCCUCUAAGGGCAUAGUGGCAGCAUGGAGUGGCAGAGACACCACCUUAAAUCACCAGCUUCAUGCUCCAGCCCAGCUGUUCGCCUAUUUCAGAGGCAGCUUGAAACCCUGCAUCACUGUCUCUGAGCAGCUUGGGGGACGAUGGAUGGCAUGAACUUACUCAGGCAGCUGCCGGGAUCUGUGUUUGUUUCUUCUCAGUGGGAGCUGGGUCCUCCUGGUGAUAUCUCAUUCCUCAAGAAAAGAAGAGCCACUCUGACAGCAAUUCCAUUAAAAAAAAAGAAGAGGUGGGACCUGAAGGAUGAAUCUCAAACAAUCAUGAACCUCUGAGUGUGCUUUCCAAUCUGAAACUAGAAUCUGAGAUUUAUUAUAAUUACUACAGGGCAUUGGCUGAUUGAGGCUGGGCUUUGCUGGAGAGUGAGCUCUUCACAGGCUGCAGAAUUGGAGGUGGCUCUGCUUAUCCCUGUUGGUGGUUAUCUGGGUUGACUCUGCAGCACUUGUCUCAUCUUCCUUGGAUUUGCAUGUUUACUGGGACUCAUUUUUCCUCUGGGUUAACAAAGGCAAAAGAGAUCAUGUGAAAACAUGAAGUUUCUUCAGGCCAAGGAACAGGUCACUGAGAAAAUAGCUGAGCAAGGCCAAGCAUCCAGACAACUCUGGGACAUGAUUUUCUGUGCAGAGAUGAAGAAGGCUAGCUACAGCACUGACUGUAGUGAACAAAUAAGGAAUGCAAUUUUCAAUAUAUGGCAUGGAAACCAUAUAGGAAGAGUGAUCAGAGAAGACACCAAGAUAAUAGUCCAUGGUC